UUGCGAUAAAACUUUUUAAAUGGCUGCAGUUCUUAAGUGGUUAUCAUUCUUUUAGAUGAUCCAAAAAUUUGAGGUUUUAAAGAAAGAACAAAACUAAAACAAUUUCGCUAGCUUAUGCGCAAUCGAUUUUUUAAACAAAUUCAAAACCUAGGGGAGGAUGGGUAGGAGUGAGCCAAGGGUAGGAGUGAACCGUUGAUCCUACAGCUCAAACGGGAAAUAAAAAAGACUCAAAAUUUUCAACAAGUAGUUGAAUACAAGUUGUUGUUAACACAAUCCAAUUUUUUUACCCCUUCUUGGUGUGGGUGUCUGCGUUAACGUUAUCAUCAACCCUUUUCUGUGCAAAAGUAAACUUUUUGUAUUUUUUGAAACUUCUUUAAUGAGCAUUCCGGUUGUUUUGAGACAUAAGAUAGUGGUUGAAAAUUUACUAAUAAAACAUGUAGUUUUUAGAACAAAGUAUUUUACAUGCACAAACCACGUACUUAUUGAACAUUUAAUGUUUUAAUUCAGUUGCACAGCUUGGGGAGGAAUGAGCCAUUCCAUCACGGGUAGGAGUGAACCGCGGCUAACUAAUACUUCACGUUAAAAAAGUUUUGACUUCAACGUAAAAACAUAUUUACGUUUGGCUUUAAUAUCUUAGUAUAUCAUUAGAAAACUCGUGUGCAACAUUGCAUUUAUUAUUACCACAUGUUAUAAUGCCUCGAGUCUAUAAAAGAACAACUUCAAAAGCAAAAACCCCCGGUAAAAAUAUGAAGGAUGCAUUACAUUCGAUCCAAAAAGGAAAAAGUAUUAGAGAAACUGCAAUAACUUCCAAAAUACCCUAUCCCAACUCUUCGUCGUUAUUGAAAAAAAUUUUUGCUCGAUGAAAAUACAAGACUUAGCCCGAAAUAUUAUGUUAAAAGAAUAUUUACAGACAAGCAGGAAUUAGAAUUAAAGGAAUAUAUUUUGACUUGUUCAAGAAUGUUCUAUGGCCUUCCAAUUAAAGAAUGUCGGUGUAUAGCUUUUGAGAUGGCAACCAUUAAUAAAAUUAGUAUUCCACAGAAGUGGCACAAAGACUCAAUGGCAGGUAUUGAUUGGAUGAAUAAUUUUAGAAAGCGACAUCCAGAUUUGUCUCUUAGAACACCUGAAGGAUGUUCUCUCUCAAGGGCAACAUUUAAUUCCCAUAAUGUAAAUAUAUUUUUUGAUAAAUUAAAAGAAAUUCUUGCUAGAUCACCAAUAUUUGCCAAUGGAACUCGGAUUUUUAACCUUGAUGAAACUGGAACUAUUACCGUGCAGAACCCACAAAAGGUUCUUGCAAAGAAAGGUGUGAAGAGUGUCUGCAAAGUCACAAGUGCUGAAAGAGGAACCCUUGUCACAACAUGUAUAAUAAUCAGUGCUUCUGGACAAUAUCUUCCACCAGUAAUUAUUUUUCCAAGAGUGCAUUUCAAGGAGCAUAUGUUGUUAGGAGCUCCUUCUGGAUCUCUCGGACUUGCAUGUAAAACAGGCUGGAUGAACGGUGAACUUUUUUUAGAUGUUAUGAAUCACUUUAUCAAGUUCUCGUCAAGUACAAAAGAAAAUCCAUCAUUAUUAAUAUAUGACAAUUUCGAAGCGCACUUAUCUAUAGCAGUGUUAAAUUUAGCAAAGGAGCAUGGAGUGACCAUUUUGACAUUACUGCCUCAUUCCAUUCAUAAGUUACAACCACUUGAUGUGGGAGUUAUGGGACCAUUUAAAACUGCAUAUAAUGCAGCAAUUGAUUCCUGGAUGCUCCACAAUCCUGGAAAAACAUUUACAAUUUACCAAGUUGCUGCAUCUGUAGGGCUUGCUUUUCUGAAAGUCAUAACACCAUCUAACAUUGUAGCUGCUUUUAAAAAGACAGGUAUAUUUCCUUAUGACAGGAAUGUGUUUAUAGAUAUUGAUUUCAUGUGCAGUUCUGUGACAGACAGAACUUUUAAUGUUAACAAUACUUGCAUAAAAAAUCGCGUAAGCAUUACUUCUGAUAAUUUUUUUAACCCACAUGUUUCACCAAAUGCAGACCCCACUACCUCUACUACUAUAGAUACAAACAAACUAAUUACCAAUGAUACCAUGGUUAAUCUGUCUACAUCAUCAGAUUUCUUUAUCAACCCUAAACAAUUCAGAGGUUUUCCGAAAUCUGGAAAAAAAAAACUGUAAAAGAAGGGAAAGGAAGAACGGUUGCUCUAUCAUUGCCACAGACACUCCUGAGAGAGAUCGGAUUGAGAAAAGGCUCUGCAAUAAAAAGUUAGUCAAACUUACAAAAGAAUUAAAAUCAAAUUUACAGAAGAUUAACAAAAAAUUACUUAAAAAAGACGAUUCUGUAUUGGAACAUUUGACAGCCACAAAUGAAAAAGGUUUAAUAAUCCUAGAAGAUGAUUUGUGUGCUUGUGAUAUAUAUCCUAAAGAAGAUGACUUUGUAUUGGUUAAAUUUGAAACAACAAAAAAAAAAUUGUUUUAUAUUGGAAAGGUUUUAUGUGUAAACUCUAUAAAAGAAGAAGUUACAAUCAGUUUUCUUCGGAAAAAAGGUGAUAUUUUUAAAGAUGCCUAAUUCACCAGAUAUUGUGACUAUCCCUAGAAUGGAUGUUAAAUUGUUGCUACCUCGGCCAACUUUUUCUUGAACAAAUAAAAGGCAGCAUUGCCAUUACAAAUUUGAGAAAAUUGACAGCAAAUGCAAGCAUUGGGAGAAACUUUUUUUGGAAAUUGCUGUUUAUGAAAAAAGCCUAUGCUGAUGUAAUUUUGAAGUUGUGCAAGGGGGCAAGGAAUUUAGACGUUACAGUACUUACACACAAACUAAUCUCAAUAUACUUGAAGAAUUAAUAACAAAAAUAACUUUCAGAAGAUUACCAAUACUUUCUUCCUGCCAUCUUUAAAAUGUUUAAAAAAUUAAUUUACUGUGGAUGAGUGAAAUAAAAACGUUGUUUAAGAAGAAUUUUUACUACAUUUAUAAAGUUUACUUUAUAAGGCAUAAAAUUGGCAGUAAUUUUUGUUUGACAAUUGCUGUUUUCACAAUUUUUUUAGACUCAAUCACUUUUGAUUCAAUUCAAUUUAUUAA